GUUGUUCGGAAUUACUGGGCGUAAAGCGCACGUAGGCGGGUAUUUAAGUCAGGGGUGAAAUCCCGGGGCUCAACCCCGGAACUGCCUUUGAUACUGGGUAUCUGGAGUAUGGAAGAGGUGAGUGGAAUUCCGAGUGUAGAGGUGAAAUUCGUAGAUAUUCGGAGGAACACCAGUGGCGAAGGCGGCUCACUGGUCCAUUACUGACGCUGAGGUGCGAAAGCGUGGGGAGCAAACAGG
rnacentral:rRNA from 1 species